rnacentral:rRNA from 3 species
UGGUGGGUAGUUUGACUGGGGCGGUCUCCUCCUAAAGAGUAACGGAGGAGCACGAAGGUUGGCUAAUCCUGGUCGGACAUCAGGAGGUUAGUGCAAUGGCAUAAGCCAGCUUGACUGCGAGCGUGACGGCGCGAGCAGGUGCGAAAGCAGGUCAUAGUGAUCCGGUGGUUCUGAAUGGAAGGGCCAUCGCUCAACGGAUAAAAGGUACUCCGGGGAUAACAGGCUGAUACCGCCCAAGAGUUCAUAUCGACGGCGGUGUUUGGCACCUCGAUGUCGGCUCAUCACAUCCUGGGGCUGAAGUAGGUCCCAAGGGUAUGGCUGUUCGCCAUUUAAAGUGGUACGCGAGCUGGGUUUAGAACGUCGUGAGACAGUUCGGUCCCUAUCUGCCGUGGGCGCUGGAGAACUGAGGGGGGCUGCUCCUAGUACGAGAGGACCGGAGUGGACGCAUCACUGGUGUUCGGGUUGUCAUGCCAAUGGCACUGCCCGGUAGCUAAAUGCGGAAGAGAUAAGUGCUGAAAGCAUCUAAGCACGAAACUUGCCCCGAGAUGAGUUCUCCCUGAGACUUUAGGUCUCCUGAAGGAACGUUGAAGACGACGACGUUGAUAGGCCGGGUGUGUAAGCGCAGCGAUGCGUUGAGCUA